UGGAAAUCUAGCGACGUAAUGACUAUUUAUUUUUUUAUCUCAAUCUGAAGAUAUAAAGACGAAAUAGUUUAGACAAAAAAGAACCCCUCUUAUCUGGCUGCUUCGUGAGCUGGAACUAGAAAAUAAUUGCAGAAAAUGUAAAAUGUAUUACUACUGACAAACUGAUGGACGUCAGUUUGUAUCGAUUACGUCAAUUAGUUGGUAUGUGAUCUGCAGCCUUGAGAGUCAAUGUGUGAAAGAAAUAAUAAGUGUCAUCACGAAUUCAUCAACUGAAGAGAAAUGGAAAAUAGGACCGAUCUUAUUCUUAAAGCUAUGAGUUGUAAGUCGUAGCGAAUUUCAACUUGGCACAGCUACGAAAAAAAUUGCUCGAAAUUUAGUAAAAGUUAAAUCGAACAUACAUAUUUACGAGGAAGAUCACGUACACGCAAUGAAAGGAGCCGAUGUCUUAGCCAGCGAUAUAGUGCAUGCAGUUGAAAUAGAGAAAUAGAACGAACCACUACUGAAAAAUCUGCUGACAGAAUGACAUCAUAUUCCCUUCCAAAUAAAUGUCACAGGUAAAUAUUACUUCGCUAUUUCCAAAUUUUUUCUUUAUUACAGGUUUCAAUUACUUAUUACUAUC